AGAGAGGGUAGGGAGAGAGAGAGUUAGAGCGGCGCCGGAGGUCGGCGCUGGGGACCGGAGGUCGGGAUAAAACAAGUAAAAUAAAUCAUUAUUAACUAAUUAAUGGAAACAAUCGGCCGUGGCAUUUACUUACCCAACGUGUAUAUGAUCUGUCAUCCAUGUAAUGCGAGUGAAAGGAACACACAUGCAUCAGAGGCACUUAAAGUACUUGUUUUGAUUGAGUUUUAAGUGUGUGAUUAAUACUCCGUGAAGUAGAAGGGUCCAGUUGACAAUCCGAGUCAAGUAUAAGGGCCUCCGAGGUCAUUCCACCAAAUAUUAUUCCCACACCAGUUAUGUCCCCAAAAAUACACUAUCCGCUUAUCUUCACUAUUGAAUGAGAAAUUCCAUAAAAUAAUCUAUCCCUUCAUGAUAUUCCCCACAAACCACACCCAAAAGGUAAAACAUUAUCUCUCGUUUUCCAACCCCCUUCCAUAAUCCCAUAAUUAUCAACUAUCACCCUUCAUAAAGCUUGUAUCUCCACCCCAAACCACCGGAUCCAUUUGCACAGGUACAUUUUCUGCCACCAUCCUAGUCUCUUCUCGAUCCUCAGUAUAACCAAGAUUCACACAUUAUGAUGCUUGUUCGAAGCCCCUAAUGGUACUUAAAGAUAUCAAGUCGAAAGAGCCCCAACCCUACAAUUCAAGACUCAAGCAAGCAAUCUAAUGAGUUACGGUUUAAUGGGGGAAAAGUCAACUUAAGAAACUGAACUCAAAUACAUUAAGUAGAAGUAACCCUCGGGGAAAGAUUGAAUAAGGAUUUGACUUUUAUAAAAGGAGAAAAUAAUAUUUCAUUUGUAUCUGGCAGUGGUUUACUUGGCUUUUAUCGAGUAGAUUAUUUUUAGCUUUCACAUGUCUAUCAGAAACCUCAUCUCUACCUCCCAAGGUAGGGGAAAGAUCCGUAUACACUCAACCCUCCCUAGACCCCACUUGUGGGAUUACACUAGGUAUGUAAACCUUUAGCUUUAGCAAGUACUACUACUCCUAUGUUUUUGGGUAGUAUAAGCCAUUAUAUGAUGUUCUUUUUGCUCUUGGAGUAACGAAAAUAUGUCUGAAAGAUGCGUAGUAGUGAAAUCAAGAGAUUCCAGAAUUUCUCUUUCUUGAGCUAUCAAGAAUAAGGAAUAGCCAUCAAGGUCUUCUUCCUAUUAUACAUGUGCACAAGAAGUUUUAUUUAGUGUAAGGUGCCAGGUGAUAGUCAUAAAUGAUAUCAAACUCCCGGUCUCAUUCUGUAUCAUUGAUAAUACAUGAACUAAUUUCGGGUACGUAACAGAUUUGAGAGUAUGGAAGUACCCAAUAAGGAUACGUGAAAUUAUUUAGCUAAUUAUUUAGCUAACUGAAUAUACUACCUCCAUCCCAAAAUAUGAGACACAAUUUGACUUCUACAAUUAGUUUGACCAAUUUCGUCCUCAAAACAGACUGACAUAAUUACUGUCCAAGAUCAAAAAUAUAACUUCUUCAACUAUGUCUACUGUGCUCUUUCAUUGUAAGAGUUUCAACUUCAAAUAUUGGAAUCACCAAAAAAAAUAAUUUUGCACUCAAAACUUUACUAAACUUGACUUCCAAACAUGAAUGGUUAUAUCGCAAAUAUUGGGCCAGGUUUCCUCUACCCUCCCUCCACAAAAACAAUUCAAUUUAGCCAAUUUACCCUAAGAAAUCUCAAUAGAUCAAUUUACUUAUGAGCCAUUUGAGGUUUUACAACAUUAUGAACAAAGAGCCAAGCAGCCUUUAGCAUGAUACUUGUACAUUAAAAUUAACUCAAGUUCCAAAUCAUGUGUCCAUUAAGAUGUUCAACGAUUAAUACAACACAUAAACCAAUAGGUGUUCAAACUCAAAUGAACUGUAGUGACACGUAAAAGUAGGAAAACGUAAAUUGACAUGGAGUUAAAGGCUUAGGAUCAGAAAAACAGUAAGGCGAAGCAAAAGCGAUUCAGCCACAAUGACUAUAAGCCACACGAUGAGAUAAGAUGGUGUGAGAAAUAUAGGGAAAAAAAUAUUAUUGAAUUGUGUAUCUAUAUAAUUACAUCGAGGCCCUAUUUAUAGACACUACAUUACAAUCCUUUUCCAAGUACGUUUCUAGAUACUAUUUCCUAUUCCUACUAGGAUUCUAUAUUUACUAUUCAUAUUCCUACUAGGAUUCUAACACUCCCCCUCAAGCCGGUACAUACAAGUCAUAUGUAUCUAGCUUGUUACAAAUGUAAUUAAUACGAGGACUAGUGAGGGACUUGGUGAAGAUAUCUGCAAGCUGAUCACUUGUCUUCCCAAAUCAUGUAACAAUAUCUUCGGAGAAUGUCUUUUCUCUAAGAGACAAUCAAUUUCAAUGUACUUAGCCCUCAUGAAACAUCGAAUUUGAUGCAAUAUGAAAGGCCGCUUGAUUAUCACGCAAGUUACAUCCAACAGAUUUCUCAAAAUUUUAGUUCUUUUAGCAACUGUUUGAUCCAAACUAGCUCACAAGUUGCUACAGCCAUUGCUCGAUAUUCUGCUUCUGCACUAGAUCAAGCAACCAUACUCAGUUUCUUACUGUUCCAGGACGCCAAAUUACCUCCAACUAAAACACAAUAUCCGGAUAUAGAGCAUCUAUGGGUGAUCCUGCCCAAUCAGUGUUUGUAUAUCCAAUGAUAUACUCAUGGCCUCGAUCCUCGAAGAGUAGUCCAUUACCUGGAGCUGACUUUAUAUAUCGCAGAAUAUGAACAAUUGCAUCUCGGUGACUAUCAUAAGGGGAAGUCAUAAACUGACUUACAAAACUCACAUGAAAAGAGAUGUCAGGUCUAGUCACAGUAAGAUAAUUCAACUUCCCAACCAGAGUCGUCUAUACCUUCCAGGAUCACUGAGUGGCUCCCAUUGUCCUAGAAGAAGUUGAACAUUCGAAUCCGAAGGAGUGUCAGUAGGUCUACAUCCCAUCAUUCUUGUCUCCAUAAGAAUGUUCAAGGCAUGCUUGCGUUGAGAAAUAGCAAUACCUAAUUUGGAUUGAGCAACCUUAAUGCCUAGGAAAGUACUUCAGUCGAUCAAGGUCUUUAGUCUAGAAAUGUUGAAAGAGAUGUUGCUUCAAAUUAAAGAUAUCAUUGUCAACAUAAACCACCAAGUAAAUACACAGAUUUGGUGUAGAGUAUAGAUAAAAUAUUGAGAGAUCAACUCCACUAUGAAUCAUGUUAAACUCUUGAAUUACUAUGCUGAACUUUCCAAACCAAGCUCGACGGGACUGUUUCAGAUCAUAGAGUGACCUACGCAAUCGGCAUACGAGGCUACUAGACUCCCCCGAGUAACAAAACCAAGUGGUAGCUCCAUAUAGACUUCUUCUAGAUCACCGGGCAGCAAAGCAUUCUUAAUGUUAAACUGAUAAAGAGGCCAAUGACGAACGAUAGCCAUAAAUAGAAAAAGAUGAUCCGAUGCAAUUUUAGCCUCAAGAGAGAAAGUGUCACUACAAUUAAGCACAAGUAUCUGUGUAUAUUCUUUGACAACAUUGUGAGCCUUAAUCUGACCAUCUGGACCAACUUUGACGGCAACCAACAGUAGAUUUACCUACCUACACCUACCUAUAGGAAGAGAAACAAGCUCCGAAGUACCAUUGGUAUGUAAAGCAGACAUCUCAUCAAUCAAAGUCUUAGGGAUGAAAAUAGAGGACAAAGAUAAUACAAAAGCAUAAUGGGGUGAUAGACGAUGAUAACUCAAGAAAAUAUAAUGUGGGUUAGCAUAACGAGUGGAUCUUAUACCUUUUUGAAGUGCAAUUGAUUGACUAGGAGGAGGCAAGUCCGCAGUAGGGCAGCUUCAGGCGCAUGACAUGAAUAAUUUGGGACUAAUGCUGGACGCGGGCAACGAUGAUUAAGUCAAAAAUGGUGGCACUGCAGCGGGAGAUGUAGAAGUAACCGUAGAUUCCUCAAAGGUUGGUGCGGGUAAGACCUCAGAGAUAUCAGGAUUAGCAGAAGACUCAUAAUAAGGUUGAGAUUCAAAGAAUAUGACAUAGGUGAACAGAAUGUAGCAACCCAAAAUAGGUGAAUAGCAACGAUACCCUUUCUGAACUCGAGAGUAACCAAGAAAGACACAUUUGAGAGCACGAGGGGCUAAUUUAUCUUUUCCUAAAACAUGUGCUCCCGAAGACAUGAGCGAGGAUAGAGUAGAGACGUGACUAAGGAAACAGUAUGAAAUAAGGAACUUGACUUUUCUAAAAAGAUGACAUUCUAUUAGUUAAAUUCCUUUUGAUUUUGUUUGGAUCUGAUUGGCUAAAGUAAUAACAGGAAGAGAUUGUGAAUAAACAAUAUCGGACAGAAUUGAUUUGUUACCAAAAAUAUGAUCAGAAGCACUUGAGUCCACGACCCGUAAUCCAAGAUUACUAGACUACGAAACACAAGCAAGAGAAUUACCAGCAACAGCAACAGAAGCAACAGAAGCAUCAGAUUGAGCAACCAAGGCUACUGGUGGAGAAGUAACUUGCUCGAUACUGAAGGAACUCAUUAUAAUCUGUCUAAGCAUUAUGAGUGUUAUUGGAUGGUCAAUUAGGUUGAACAUCAGAGGCUACUUGUGGAGUUGUCUGCUUACUUGUUCAAUUCCUAAUCAGCUCAUUAUAUUCCAUUAAAGAAAUAGAAUCAAAACUGGGUAGUGGACCAUGCACAAUUAACAUAUUUCCUGCGUGUGUCUAACCUUAUGACAACAACUACACUUUGGCCGAGAUUUUCCAAAACGACCUCCUCUUCGUCGAUUCUCCAUAGAUUGAUAUGUUUAUUUUUCUAUGGUUUGAGAUGCGAGAACAAAAGAUUCAAUGACAGGUGAUAAAGCUACUUUGUGACUGGGAGGUGCGGCAAGACAAAGAAGACUAGAGAAUAACUCAUCAAUUGUAGGAACCAUAGGACUAACUAAAAUCUAAUCACGUACUGAAUCACUGUCGGUAGAAAGUCCAGCAAGUGUAAGAACUAGAAACAAUGUUUGUCUAUGUUUUUGUUGUUCUUCCACACUUGUAGUGACGGACAUCAAUGUUUCAAAUUCCUCCAUGGCUACUUGUGAACUAUCCCAAGUAAGUAGACAUAUCGGAUUCUUGUUUCCUUAAGUUGGUCAUUAUAGAUAUCAACUAAGUUGCUCCGACUCUUCAAAAAUGUCUUUGGGUGCGUGCCGGAUCCUCCAAAAACCAUGUAUUUUUUAAGGAUCCGACAUGGGUGCGGCAACAUUUUUGGAGAGUCCAAGCACUUAGGAUAUCAACUCAACCAUUGCUAGACCCCGCUUGUGGGAUUACAUUAGGUAUGUUGUUGUAUUGUGUCGAGAGGGAUAAAGCCUUUAGCUUUAGCAAGUAGUACUACUACUAUUUUUUUGGGUAGUAUAAGCCAUUAUAUGAUGUUCUUUUUGCUCUUGGAGUAACAAAAAUAUGUUUGAAAGAUGCAUAUCAGCGAAAUCAAGAGAUUCCAAAAUCUUUCUUUCCUGUGCAAUCAAGAAUAAGGAAUUGCCAUCAAGGUCUUCUUCCUAUUAUACAUGCGUUCAAGAAGUUUUAUUUAGUGUACGGUGCCAGGUGAAAGUCAUAAAUGAUAUUGAACUCCCUGCCUCAUAUUCUAGUCAUUGAUGAUACAUGAAUUAAUUUCAGGUAUGUAUCAGAUGAGUGUAUGAUAAGGAUACAUGAAAUUAUUUAGCUAAUUUUUACUAGUUUAUUUUCGAAAAAUUAUUGCGAAGUAACACCUUUUUUUAACUAUCAUUAUUGCGAAGUAACACCUUUUUUUAACUAUCACUCAUCCAAUAUGGGUAUGGCAACAACGCCAGUUUCUAAGGCAUCAUUUGGCAGGUUAACUCUUAAAAAUCUCAAUCGGCAAACUGAAUAUACUACCUCCGUCCCAAAAUAUGAGACACAAUUUAACUUCAACAAUUAGUAUGACCAAUUUCUGCCUUAAAACAAACAAUGACAUAAUUACUGUCCAAGAAUAAAAAUAUACCUUCUUCAAAUAUUUCAACUAUUGGAAUCAUCAAAAAACUAUUUGCACUCGAAAUUACUAAGUUUGACUUCCAAACAUUAACUGUUAUAUCACAAAUACUGGGCCAGGUUUCCUCUACCCUCCCUCCACAAAAACAACUCAAUAUAGCCAAUCUACCCAAAGAAAGCUCAAUAGAUCAAUUUAUUUAUGAGCCAUUUGAGGUUUUACAACAUUAUGAACAAAGAGGCCAAGCAGCCUUUAGCAUGAUAUACUCAAGUUCCAAAUCAUGUGUCCAUUAAGAUGUUCAACGAUCAAUGGGAAGCAUAAACCUGUAGGUGUUCAAUCUCAAAUGAACUGUAGUGCCACGUAAUAGUAGAUAAAACGUAAAUUGACAUGGAGUUAUAAAGGCUUAGGAUCAGAAAAACAGUAAGGCGAAGCAAAAGCGAUUCAGCCACAAUGACUAUAAGCCACACGUUGAGAUAAGAAAGAAAACAGAUGAGGAUUAACACAUUGAUCAACUAUUAAAUGAACAUCUUAAUUAUGGCAAAGAGAGAAC
rnacentral:lncRNA from 1 species